GAUGAACGCUGGCUACAGGCUUAACACAUGCAAGUCGAGGGGAAACGGCAUUGAGUGCUUGCACUGAAUGGACGUCGACCGGCGCACGGGUGAGUAACGCGUAUCCAACCUUCCCGUUACUGCGGGAUAACCUGCCGAAAGGCAGACUAAUACCGCAUGUUCUUCGAUGACGGCAUCAGAUUCGAAGCAAAGAUUCUUCGGUAACGGAGGGGGAUGCGUCUGAUUAGCUAGUUGGCGGGGCGACGGCCCACCAAGGCGACGAUCAGUAGGGGUUCUGAGAGGAAGGUCCCCCACAUUGGAACUGAGACACGGUCCAAACUCCUACGGGAGGCAGCAGUGAGGAAUAUUGGUCAAUGGGCGGAAGCCUGAACCAGCCAAGUAGCGUGCAGGAUGACGGCCCUACGGGUUGUAAACUGCUUUUAUGCGGGGAUAAGGUGAGGGACGCGUCCCUUUUUGCAGGUACCGC
rnacentral:rRNA from 1 species